rnacentral:snRNA from 1 species
ACCUUUGCCCAGUGGCAGUAUCGUAGCCAAUGAGGUUUAUCUGAAGCUCGAUUAUUGCUAAUUGAAAACUUUUCCCAAUACCCCACCAUGACGACUUGAAAUAUAGUCAGCAUUGGCAAUUUUUGGCAAUCUCUAUGGAGA